rnacentral:lncRNA from 1 species
UAGAGUGCAGGUUGCCAUAGAUCAUUCGUAUGUGCCUCAAGAUGUGGUCCAUGAAUUCUUGGAAAUUGGGUGGCGGGGUUCUUGGGGUUGCUUGUGCUUAACGCUCUCUCUAUUUACUGUAUACUCUUUUAACUCGGGGCACGAAUGACCUAGGGGUGCAAAGUAGGUGAUGCAAUUCUUGACUUCCAAGAGGCCCGUGUCGUCCAAGGAUCGAAGAUCUAAAGUUCUUGUGGGCAUGGAAGGUGCAAGUUUAUUUCAUCUAUGUCAAAGCGGGUGGUGAAAAUAGCAAUUAUAGUGACAAUCGAGCCCAAGAUUAACAGCUGGAAUGAAAGGAUGUUGGCAAACUGCGAGGCAAACUAGUAUUNNNNNNNNNNNNNNNNNNNNNNNNNNNNNNNNNNNNNNNNNNNNNNNNNNNNNCGCAGGUAGAGGUCUUUGGACUUACUGGGGUCAUAUGCAGUUGGAGGGUUGUCACAGAGUUCGUCGUAGACGGUGACAGGCCCAAAUCAUCACAAAAAUUGCAAUAUACGUGUUCCGUCUCCCGCUUAGAAAAUUCCAACGCGUCAUUGAACUAAGCAAUGGAGAAAUUGAAAUGUCUACCCCUCAGAUGAUAGGAAAUGAGAUUUGGGUUGUGGAGGUUCAAAUGAGUGGGUUUGUGAAAUUGGAAGGUUGUGCAGAACACCUUAACCAGUUCCAUGUAGGCUGGCACGUCGACGGUGAAAAAUUUUUCCCAUCCGAUGGUAUAUAUUAGUCUUAAGACACAAAAAACUAGUGAAUUUCCUUAUAUCUCUCUUUUUCCAGGUCGUCCUCAAAGACGAGAUGCCCCUGGAGUCGGAUUUGAUGGGUUGAUGAAUGGGUUGCCCUUUCUAGACUCAGGCCCGCUUCUUUGACCUUUGGGAUGCUUCAUCUUCUUUAGCAGCUUCGCUGGCAGUGGGUGGUGGUUGAUUUGCACGCCUGGUUGUCUGACUUGUUCUAGCUUCGUGAGUGGUGGUCCUCUGGGAAGGAGAGUCAGAGAUGUUAAUGACAAGGCUGCGAGGUAUUGGGGAGGCCGUUGUGGAGCUACUCGCUCCAGUUGGUAAAGGUUGCUCUCUAUCAAGGGCUUGUGGUGCGAACGCCAUCGGUGCUGCUUGUGUCGUCGCCUCGGUGGUCUGCUGACGCACGAGGGGCAGCAGAUUUUUUUGUGCAGAUCUCUUGUGCCUCAUUUUGUGGGUGGUUGAGGGGUUAGGGAUUGGGGCAGUUACAUUUGGUUCAAGGGAGGAGAAAAAGGGAAGUUAGAAAGUGGAGAGGAGAGGUUGGCAGUGAAGGUGGGAAGUGAGAGUUAGGUUUCUUGUUUUUCAUUAUUGCUGUUUAAAUUUUAAAAUGGGUGCUAAGUGUCGGCAGCCUAGGGCAAUGGUUGGGUUUGUCAUAAUUUUUUUUUUGAAAGUCUGAAACUCAUACGCUUUGGGCAAGUCUUGGAUGUGAGAGGACAAGAUCAUUUUAUAGGGUGUAGAUCAUAAACCUUGAGCAAGGCUUACAUGUUCGAAUAGAAAUGAUCCCCUACUAUCUUCGCAUUUUAACUUUAGGCAAGGCUUGUGAAAGGGUGUUGAUUGGGAAGCUAAUACGAACUAGCCUAGGGCAAGGCUUAUGCGUGAAUGAGGUGUAAGCCUCAGUCAAGGCUUACACAAAGUGAUUGUCCCGACUUCAGUGUCCUUACA